rnacentral:rRNA from 1 species
UGCAAGUCGAGCGCACCCUUCGGGGCGAGCGGCGGACGGGUUAGUAACGCG